CGUGAGCUGGGGUUAGAC
rnacentral:miRNA from 1 species